GAUGAACGCUGGCGGCGUGCCUAAUACAUGCAAGUCGAGCGAAUGGAUUAAGAGCUUGCUCUUAUGAAGUUAGCGGCGAACGGGUGAGUAACACGUGGGUAACCUGCCCAUAAGACUGGGAUAACUCCGGGAAACCGGGGCUAAUACCGGAUAACAUUUUGAACCGCAUGGUUCGAAAUUGAAAGGCGGCUUCGGCUGUCACUUAUGGAUGGACCCGCGUCGCAUUAGCUAGUUGGUGAGGUAACGGCUCACCAAGGCAACGAUGCGUAGCCGACCUGAGAGGGUGAUCGGCCACACUGGGACUGAGACACGGCCCAGACUCCUACGGGAGGCAGCAGUAGGGAAUCUUCCGCAAUGGACGAAAGUCUGACGGAGCAACGCCGCGUGAGUGAUGAAGGCUUUCGGGUCGUAAAACUCUGUUGUUAGGGAAGAACAAGUGCUAGUUGAAUAAGCUGGCACCUUGACGGUACCUAACCAGAAAGCCACGGCUAACUGCGUGCCAGCCGCCGCCGUAA
rnacentral:rRNA from 1 species